rnacentral:rRNA from 1 species
CGGCGAGUGAAGCGGCAAAAGCUCAAAUUUGAAAUCUGGCGUCUUUGGCGUCCGAGUUGUAAUUUGAAGAAGGUAUCUUUGGGCCCGGCUCUUGUCUAUGUUCCUUGGAACAGGACGUCACAGAGGGUGAGAAUCCCGUGCGAUGAGAUGACCCGGGUCUGUGUAAAGUUCCUUCGACGAGUCGAGUUGUUUGGGAAUGCAGCUCUAAGUGGGUGGUAAAUUCCAUCUAAAGCUAAAUAUUGGCGAGAGACCGAUAGCGAACAAGUACAGUGAUGGAAAGAUGAAAAGAACUUUGAAAAGAGAGUGAAAAAGUACGUGAAAUUGUUGAAAGGGAAGGGCUUGAGAUCAGACUUGGUAUUUUGCAUGUUGCUCUCUCGGGGGCGGCCGCUGCGGUUUACCGGGCCAGCAUCGGUUUGGAGCGGCAGGAUAAUGGCGGAGGAAUGUGGCACGGCUUCUGCUGUGUGUUAUAGCCUCUGACGAUACUGCCAGCCUAGACCGAGGACUGCGGUUUUUACCUAGGAUGUUGGCAUAAUGAUCUUAAGUCGC